rnacentral:rRNA from 1 species
AUCAACUUUCGAUGGUAGGAUAGAGGCCUACCAUGGUGGUAACGGGUAACGGGGUGUUAGGGCACGACACCGGAGAGGGAGCCUGAGAAACGGCUACCACAUCCAAGGAUGGCAGCAGGCGCGCAAAUUACCCAAUCCCGACACGGGGAGGUAGUGACAAUAAAUAACAAUACGGGGUUCUUUAGGAUCUCGUAAUUGGAAUGAGUACAAUUUAAAUCUCUUAACGAGGAACAAUUGGAGGGCAAGUCUGGUGCCAGCAGCCGCGGUAAUUCCAGCUCCAAUAGCGUAUAUUAAAGUUGUUGCAGUUAAAAAGCUCGUAGUUGAAUUUCGGGGUCAGUAGGUUGGUCGUGCCGCCGGUACGUACUGGUCUCACUGAUUCCUCCUUCCUGAUGAGCUGUAAUGCCAUUAAUUUGGUGUUGCAGGGAAUCUGGACUGUUACUUUGAAAAAAUUAGAGUGUUUAAAGCAGGCUAACGCUUGAAUACAUUAGCAUGGAAUAAUGAAAUAGGACGUUCGAUCCUAUUUUGUUGGUUUCUAGGAUUGACGUAAUGAUUAAUAGGGAUAGUUGGGGGCAUUAGUAUUCAAUUGUCAGAGGUGAAAUUCUUGGAUUUAUUGAAGACUAACUACUGCGAAAGCAUUUGCCAAGGAUGUUUUCAUUAAUCAAGAACGAAAGUUAGGGGAUCGAAGACGAUCAGAUACCGUCGUAGUCUUAACCAUAAACUAUGCCGACUAGGGAUCGGAUGAUGUUAAUUUUUUAAUGACUCAUUCGGCGCCUUACGGGAAACCAAAGUGUUUGGGUUC